rnacentral:tRNA from 2 species
GCCCAAGUGGCGGAAUGGUAGACGCAGGGGAUUCAAAAUCCCCCGUCCUAGCGGACGUGCCGGUUCGAGUCCGGCCUUGGGUACCA